rnacentral:rRNA from 1 species
GACAGAGGCCUCGAGCGUUAGGCGGAAUCACUGGGCUUAAAGCGUGUGUAGGCGGAUCGUUAAGUGUCUUGUGAAAUCCCACGGCUCAACCGUGGAACGGCUGGGCAUACUGGCGAUCUUGAGCAGCCUAGGGGCGACCGGAACAAACGGUGGAGCGGUGAAAUGCGUAGAUAUAGGAAGGAAUACCAGUGGCGAAGGCGGCCUCCUGGAUCAACACUGACGCUGAGGUGCGAAAGCGUGGGGAGCAAACAGG